rnacentral:rRNA from 1 species
GACGAACGCUGGCGGCGUGCCUAAUACAUGCAAGUAGGACGCAGUUGCGAACGGGUGAGUAACGCGUAGGUACCUGCCUAUUAGAGGGGGAUAAAUAUUGGAAACGAUAGCUAAUACCGCAUACUAGUAGAUGGAACUGCGUUGUAUUAGCUAGUAGGUAGGGUAAUGUCCCACCCAGGCAACGAUACAUACACGAGCUGAGGGGGGGAGCUGCCCGCCGGGGACUUGGGAAAGGCCCAGAACCCUACCGUGAGGCACAGGAGGGGAUCUUCGGACAUUGGGGGAAACCUGAACGAGCAAAGGCGCGUGAUAGAAGAAGGUUUUCGGAGCGGAAAGCUCUGUUGUUAAGGAAGCGGUACUCAAACAGAAAGGGACGGCUAACUACGUGCCAGCAGCCGCGGUAAUAC